UCACCAGACUCCUCGGGAGGCAGCAGUGGGGGAUAUUGCACAAUGGGGGGAACCCUGAUGCAGCGACGCCGCGUGGGUGAAGGAGUGCUUCGGCAUGUAAAGCCCUAUCGGCAGGGAAGAAGCAAGACGGUACCUGACUAAGAAGCCCCGGCUAACUACGUGCCAGCAGCCGCGGUAAUACGUAGGGGGCAAGCGUUAUCCGGAAUUACUGGGUGUAAAGGGAGCGUAGACGGCAGUGCAAGUCUGGAGUGAAAGGCGGGGGCUCAACCCCGGGACUGCUCUUGGAACUGCGCGGCUGGAGUGCAGGAGGGGCAGGCGGAAUUCCUGGUGUAGCGGUGAAAUGCGUAGAUAUCAGGAGGAACACCGGUGGCGAAGGCGGCCUGCUGGACUGCAACUGACGUUGAGGCCCGAAAGCGUGGGGAGCAAACAGGAUUAGAUACCCCAGUA
rnacentral:rRNA from 1 species